GGUCGAUUGGAACAAGAAGAAAGAAGGGAAACCCUCUAAACUCAGCAAAUUAGUAAAUUGAAAGGGGGAAUCAAGGCCUGAUUUUAUGCAUGAACACUAAUUCUUGACCAUCUAAGAAUUCUCUACAUAAGGGAUCAAAGAAGAAAGUUCAAGUCGCACCGGAUCGCAAACAAACAACGACAAAGGGAUCAAAGAAGAAAGUUCAAGUCGCACCGGAUCGCAAACAAACAACGACAAAGGUAAAUCCCAUUGUUAAGGGCGCUACUUGGAUCAAACACACUCAUGAUGCACGCUUCCGCGAAGAUAUUAGCUUGGGUUAAAACUUUUGUUAAAUGUACUUUUUAUUAAACGGGUCUUUUUGUAAGUAAUAUGACUCGGUUGUCCUUAGUUGAUGAACUCGUAGUCGAAAACUAUACUAGUUGUUUAUGAAAUAUUGGGAUGUAAACUACUUUGGUAACUUCUCGUUAGCUAUGUUAUGGUUAAAUGCAGAAUUUUUACUUAUGAAUUA